GGGACACGUGGUAUCCUGUCUGAAUAUGGGGGGACCAUCCUCCAAGGCUAAAUACUCCUGACUGACCGAUAGUGAACCAGUACCGUGAGGGAAAGGCGAAAAGAACCCCGGCGAGGGGAGUGAAAAAGAACCUGAAACCGUGUACGUACAAGCAGUGGGAGCACGCUUAGGCGUGUGACUGCGUACCUUUUGUAUAAUGGGUCAGCGACUUAUAUUCUGUAGCAAGGUUAACCGAAUAGGGGAGCCGAAGGGAAACCGAGUCUUAACUGGGCGUUAAGUUGCAGGGUAUAGACCCGAAACCCGGUGAUCUAGCCAUGGGCAGGUUGAAGGUUGGGUAACACUAACUGGAGGACCGAACCGACUAAUGUUGAAAAAUUAGCGGAUGACUUGUGGCUGGGGGUGAAAGGCCAAUCAAACCGGGAGAUAGCUGGUUCUCCCCGAAAGCUAUUUAGGUAGCGCCUCGUGAAUUCAUCUCCGGGGGUAGAGCACUGUUUCGGCAAGGGGGUCAUCCCGACUUACCAACCCGAUGCAAACUGCGAAUACCGGAGAAUGUUAUCACGGGAGACACACGGCGGGUGCUAACGUCCGUCGUGAAGAGGGAAACAACCCAGACCGCCAGCUAAGGUCCCAAAGUCAUGGUUAAGUGGGAAACGAUGUGGGAAGGCCCAGACAGCCAGGAUGUUGGCUUAGAAGCAGCCAUCAUUUAAAGAAAGCGUAAUAGCUCACUGGUCGAGUCGGCCUGCGCGGAAGAUGUAACGGGGCUAAACCAUGCACCGAAGCUGCGGCAGCGACACUAUGUGUUGUUGGGUAGGGGAGCGUUCUGUAAGCCUGUGAAGGUGUACUGUGAGG
rnacentral:rRNA from 1 species